UACGGGGGGGGCAAGCGUUGUUCGGAAUUACUGGGCGUAAAGGGCUCGUAGGCGGCCAACUAAGUCGGAUGUGAAAUCCCCAGGCUUAACCUGGGAACUGCAUCUGAUACUGGAUGGCUUGAGUUCGGGAGAGGGAUGCGGAAUUCCAGGUGUAGCGGUGAAAUGCGUAGAUAUCUGGAGGAACACCGGUGGCGAAGGCGGCAUCCUGGACCGAUACUGACGCUGAGGAGCGAAAGCCAGGGGAGCAAACGGG
rnacentral:rRNA from 1 species